ensembl:lncRNA
CAGAACUCUUGGCUGCCUCUAGCAUCAUGUCUGCCUGUAUACUGUCAUGGCCCAAUUAAAUGUUUUCCUUUAUAAGAGUUGCUGUGGAGGGGCUGGAGAGAUGGCUCCUUGCUUAAGAGCACUGACUGCUCUUCUAGAGGACCUGGGUUCAAUUCCUAGUGCCUACAUGGCAGCUCAUAGCUGUCUGUAAAUCCAGUUCCAGGGGACCCAACACCCCUACUCAUACAUGCAGGCCAAAUACCAUUGCCCAUGAAAUAAAAUAAAUAAAGUGUUAAAAGAGUUACUGUGGUCAUUCCGUCUCUUCACAGCAACAGAAACCCUAAGACAGAAGUUGGUACCAGGAGUGUGGUGUUGUGUGAAAGGCCUGACCAUGCUUUUGUUUGGAGGAAUGUGGACUUUGGGAGCUUGGAUUAGAAAAGCAGUUGAACACUUUAGGAGCUGUUUAAUGGGCCAUCCUACUAGGUGAAGGGACCAGCUCCACAUUUCGGCAGCCAUAACAGCCGAACACGUACUUGCCUGGCCUUGUCUUGGUCACUAGGAGGUCAGAUGCCUCCCUCAUGCAAGGAACCUAUCAGAAGUUAGCUGGUGUUGCUAUGCUUUACGGCUCUGGGUGUGCUUUACAGACAAGUGCACAGCAAUGAUGUGUAGAGCACAGCAACCACCCUGGGAGGGCCUAUGGGCCAUAACAACCAGUUGACCAAUCAACACAGGGCAAAACCUCCAAGACUGGAGGCACACCAAUCCUGAGCCUGUGCGUACCCCUAGACACUCCCCUUACACUGUCCUAUAAGAUCUCUCGGCAGAUGCUUUGAGCUGUCUUUGCUAGCCAUCUGCCAUAGCGGCUGGGUGAAAGACCCAAGCUAACAUGGGGUUAGCUUGUUAAACAACUACAAUAAAGCCUCUUGCUAUUUGCAUCAAGUUUCUGCCUCUGCCUGGUGAUAGGGGUGGCCAAGGUCAUGGGCUGAGAUCCUGGGGGCCUGAGUCUCCGGGGGUCUUUCAUAGGAACGCGGAAGACAGUGGUGCUGAGUAUGAUUUGAACUAUAGGACCUGGCUCAAGAGGUUUCAGAGGAGAAGAAUGUUAUUAUGUGGUCUAGAGAUCUUUAUUAUGAUAUUUUGGUGAAGAAUGUUCCUGCUUUUGUGCCCUUGUCUGAAAAGUCUGCUUGGAGAUAAUUGAAGAGUUUUGCAUUAAUGGCAUUGGCAGAGGAAAUUUCAAAACAGUCCGGUAUUGACUCUGUCAUGUGGUUAUUAGUGGUCUCUCUUAUGAAGAUCUAUAAUGAAAGGGAGCAAGCUGAGCAAGGAAAAAUACAAAAGGUACAGUUCAAGGAGAAAAGGGCACCAGGAUGUGGAAUGGAACUAAACCCAUAUUGAUCAAGGAGAUAAACAAAUUAAAGAAAUCUUAGUGUUAAAUGGAAUAAAGGGAGUGGUGUCCUCAGAAAGCUUAAAGCUGGGCGUGGUGUAUACCUGUAAUCCUACCACUCCAGAGACAGGCAGGUGGAUCUCUUAGUUCAAGCCCAGCCCGGUCUAUAGAUUGAGCUUCAGGCAGCCAAGCUCUGGCAGUGAAGGAAACCAUGGGGGAAAAAAACCCCAGAAAGCUAAUGCAGAUGUAGGUGAAGGAGGGGACCAUGUUCCAGCCCCAGCAAGCAGCAGACCCUGACGGCUUUGGCCAUGUGAUUCUGAGUUUAGAGUCAAGGAUAGAAGAAAGGGGUUAUGGAAUCUCUUUCUGUGACUAAGAAAAAUCACUGAAGCCAGGCCUAUGUCAGGGCAGUCCCUGCAUGGAGGCCCAGAGAGGCCACUGUGUGAAGCUGAGAAGGUGAAGCCCGGAUGGCCUUGGAGACCCCAAGAUGUUGGAGAGGCCAGAGCCAUGGGAUACCAGCUGAGGAGAGUUGAUCACAGGGAGUGAAACCAGCCCAAGAGGAAGAAAUAGGUUGCAGUCAACAAAGCUGAAGGAGUUGAAGAUCUAAAAAGCACUUUAAUAAUAGACUAAAUGAAUUUUGCACUAUAUGAAAAAAAAAUAGGCUACAACCGUGUUGGGCCAGGGAGUGGAAUGUGGUGAUUUGAAGGAAAAUCGCCCCAUAGGCUCAUAGGGAGUGUCGCUGUGAGGAGGUGUUGGAGGAGGUGCAUCCCUAGGGGCCAGGCUUUGAGCACUCAGAAGCUCAAGCCAGGUCUAGGGGCAUUCACCUCCUGCUGCCUGCCAAUCUGGAUGUAGAACUCUGGGCUCCUGCUCCAGCACCUUUGUCUGCCUGUCUGCCUGUACACUGCCAUGCUUCCUGCCAUGGUGAUAAUGGACUGAACCCCUGAAACUGUAAACCAGACUCAAUUAAACACUUUCUUUUAUAAGAGUUGCUGUGGUCAUGACAUCUCUUCACAACAAUAGAAACCGUAAGACAGACACCCAUGAUCCUAGAGAGUCAGUUCUCUCUUUCUACCCUGUGGGUGCUGGAGAAGGAAAUCAGGUCAUCAGUCAGCCCCAGGUUCUUGCUAUAUUUUGAAGGCGGAGUCUAAAGUCUUGCAGGCAGGUAUAUAGGCGAGGCAGAGUGAGGUCAAGGACACCUCUGGGGCUUUUGACUUGAACUCCCUGGGGAAAUGACCUUUCUACUUACUGAAACAGGGAAAGCAAAUGAGGAGCUUUUAAGAGGGAGAAUUGAGAACACAGUUUAAGGUCUCUCUGCAAAGUGUGCGAUAUGCAUUGGGCACUUGGAUAGAGCCCAGAGUCCAGAAGGAAACAGAGAGCCAUCAAGACGGUUCACUGGUGAUGGGAGACGUCCUUCUGUGUAUACGUUUGUCUUAUCAGUUGAUGAAUAAAACACUGAUUGGCCAGGCAGGAUGAUAGGUUGGACUAGGAUAUGAGGAGGAUUCUGGGAAGUGUAGGCAGAGAGAUGUUGUCAUGUGAUUCCAGGAAGUGAUAUAGCUGGGCAGAAAAUGCCACUAGCUAACCAUAGAGUUCUGGAGGUCUGUACAGACAGGCAGGAAGUGACAUAACUGGGAAGAUUCAGAAUAUAAGCAGGGACAAACAGGAAAUCACUCUCUUCUCUGCAGAGAUGUAGCAGGCAAAGGAGCUGCAGGUCUGGCAUUCCCGGGAAGCCAAGACCACGUGGAAAUACAUGGAUUAGUAGUUAUGGGUUAAUAAUUUAAAACACAGGUAGCCAAAUAAGAAGCCAUAGUCACUGGCCAACAAUUUCAUAAUUAAUAUAGCAUCUGUGUUUCUUUGGGGCUGAGAAGGGCAGCAGGACCUACCGGGACAAGAAAGCUCUAGUUACACACUGGUCAAGAACACAAACUCCUCUUGCAGCAACUCCAAGUUCAGGUCCCAGAAUCCAUGUCAGGUGGUGAUCCAACACCCUCUUUUGGCUUCCAUACACACCUGCACUCAUGUAUACAUACAUACAUGUAUACAUGAUUACAAUUUUUAAAAAAAAAAUAAGUUAAAGAUUAUAAUGGCUUCAUGCAGAGUUUGAAGCCAGCCUGGGUGAGGUGUGGUGGUGUCUGCUUUUAAUCACAGCGCCUGACAGUCAGAGGCAGGAAGAUCUCUGUGAGUUCCAGGUCAGGCCAGUCUAUAUAGAGAGUUCCUGGCCAGGCAUGACUACUGUGAGACCCUAUCUCAAUAAAAUAAAACAAUAAAAUAAAGUUAAUAUCAUUCCCUGUGAACCCAGUGUACUGUAGAAGGUACAGAGUUGCUGAAUCACAUAUUUUAGAUUGUAUUCUGUAUGAAGCCUUAAAAAGAUUUCUAUUCCCAGAUGCCUAUUUUUAAUUUGAACGAGUGAAAAUGAUAUUUUAAUAUUAAAAUUGCUGGGCAUGGUGGCUCACACUUGUAAUUUCAGUGUUGAAGCUGAGACAGGAAGAUGGCCUGAAGCUCAGGCCAGCCUGGUAACAGAGUGAGACUUCAAAAAUACUGAAGAAAAAUGAUAAGGCCUGUGCUAUAUCCCCAGAACUGCUUAAACCAGGAGUAGUGGCAAACACACACACACACACACACACACACACGCAACUCAGCACUUAGACUGUGGAGUGGAAGGCUCAGUAAUUCAAGAUCAUCCUGGGCUAAAAAGUGAAUUUGGGGCCAGCCUGGGCUACACAUUUUAAAAGCCAAAACAACAACAACAAAAUUGAGCAGUAAAGAUUCACCAGUGUUUUUGUUCAUUAGUACACAAGAGAAACAAUGUCAUGUUAUAGUAGCCAAGGAUGCCAACAGCAGGUCAUGCUUCAAGAAGGCAGCAGUGACCCACCUUAGGGGCUGAAAUAAAGAGGAAGACAGCCAGUUACCCAUGUCGGUGUAGGUCAUUAGUGAAUGGAACACAAUUGCUAUGGUGUGGUCAGGUGUGGGCCAUAUUGGAGAGGUCUCACAGUAUGGUAAGCAAACAUGAGUGGGGCUAUGAGUGUGAUCUGAGGUGGAUCAAUUCUUACACCUGAAAUACCAGGUACCUGGGGGCCCUUUUUAUCCUUUGUGUCUUUUUGUUUCUUUGUUCUUUGUUUUGUGACUAUAGCUAGAGAGGCAAAGCUACAGUCCUGAAAUAGCUUCUCUUCCCUCUUCCCGCUCACCCUUCUUGAGUUUAUAGCAUCUGGGUGUGGUGAGACCCAGGAAUAGCAUACAACCCUGUGAACACAGCCCCACCAGCCAAUGGGUGACAUCCAACCCUGUGAACACAGCCCCACCAGCAAGUGGGUGACAUACAACCCUGUGAUCACAGCCCCACCAGCCAGUGGGUGACAUACAACCCUGUGAACACAGCCCCACCCGCCAAUGGGUGACAUCCAACCCUGUGAACACAGCCCCACCCACCAAUGGGUGACAUCCAACCCUGUGAACACAGCCCCACCCACCAAUGGGUGACAUACAACCCUGUGAUCACAGCCCCACCAGCCAAUGGGUGACAUACAACCCUGUGAACACAGCCCCACCCACCAAUGGGUGACAUCCAACCCUGUGAACACAGCCCCACCCACCAAUGGGUGACAUACAACCCUGUGAUCACAGCCCCACCAGCCAAUGGGUGACAUACAACCCUGUGAACACAGCCCCACCCGCCAAUGAAUGACAUCCAACCGUGUGAUCACAGCCCCACCAGCCAAUGGUGACAUCCAACCCUGUGAACACAGCCCCACACGCCAAUGGGUGACAUCCAACCCUGUGAACACAGCCCCACCCGCCAAUGGGUGACAUCCAACCCUGUGAACACAGCCCCACCCGCCAAUGGGUGACAUCCAACCCUGUGAUCACAGCCCCACCAGCCAAUGGGUGACAUCCAACCCUGUGAUCACAGCCCCACCAGCCAAUGGGUGACAUACAACCCUGUGAUCACAGCCCCACCCCCACCAAUGGGUGACAUCCAACCCUGUGAUCACAGCCCCACCAGCCAAUGGGUGACAUACAACCCUGUGAACACAGCCCCACCAGCCAAUGGGUGACAUCCAACCCUGUGAUCACAGCCCCACCAGCCAAUGGGUGACAUCCAACCCUGUGAACACAGCCCCACCAGCCAAUGGGUGACAUCCAACCCUGUGAACACAGCCCCACCAGCCAAUGGGUGACAUCCAACCCUGUGAUCACAGCCCCACCAGCCAAUGGGUGACAUCCAACCCUGUGAACACAGCCCCACCAGCCAAUGGGUGACAUACAACCCUGUGAUCACAGCCCCACCAGCCAAUGGGUGACAUCCAACCCUGUGAACACAGCCCCACCCGCCAGUGGGUGACAUACAACCCUGUGAACAGCAACUUUGACUCUGAGCCUUAGGGCUGAAUCCUCAAGUUCCAUCGGGGACAGGAGCUGGGAGUGGGGUUAAACAAACAGAAACCUUUAAUACAUACGUUAAUUGCCAAUAUUAAUGUACACAAUAAUUUAAACUGCUACAUAGAAUUUACAUUCCAGGAGUAUGUCAGCAUUUCCGUCAAACACUUACUAAUUGGCUAUUUCAACUCUUUUCGUUUUUCUCUCAUAACGGUAAUGCCAUCUUAUUUUCACACAUAUACUCUUAAAUUAUUAUUAUUAUUCCCUGAGCAUAAUGUUGUGAAAUGAAAGUGUAAAACCCAAGUGCCACAGGGUUUUGUCCUGUCACUGGAAGUCCCUCUAGGAGAGCUGCAUCCACCUGCCUCCCCAUCAGUGACCUAUAGCUGCAGGUCGUUCAAUGUAAGCAUUUUCCAAAUAAUAGAAUUUUAGUUUUUCAGAGUGCAUGUGUCCAGCUAUAAAUAAACAAGCAAUAACUAAAUGAUUCUUCUGCCGCCUCAUGCCAGAAUAUUCUUGGAUCCCAAGGAAACAAACUAAACCCAGACUUCAACCUUACAGGCUGCAUGAUUCUUCGUGUGUACAUGUGUGCAUGUGUGUGUGCGCGCGUGUGUGCAUAUGCGUGCUUGUGUUAGUGCUCAUGUGUGUGUGUCUGUGUGUAUGUCUGUGUGUGUGUGUGUGUCUGUCUGUCUGUCUCUGUGUGUGUGUCUCUGUGUGUGUGUGUUUGUGUGUGUCUGUGUGUGUGUGUCUCUGUGUGUGUGUGUCUCUGUGUGUGUGUGUCUGUCUGUCUCUGUGUGUGUGUCUCUGUGUGUAUGUCUCUCUGUGUGUGUGUGUGGGUGGGUGCAUGUGUAUGGUCUUGGGAUCACACCCAGGACCCCCUGGCUAGGCAGGCACUCUACCACUGAGCUUCACCCCAGCCCCUCACAAACACUUUUCUGAUAGGGAAGAAGCCAUAGUUCUUGUUUGUCUGGCACUGGUUUUGAACUCGUGAUCCUCCUGCCCCCACCUCCCACAUACUAGGCUGUGUCAGCACCCCUUCCUGUGACAAAGGUCCACUGGUCAUAUUCUCAGAAGCCUUAGUCCUCUCUGUUGAGGCUUGCUUCCUGUUCUUGUCAGCCUUGUAUUUUGGACCCUGCCUUUAUCUUGAAUUACUUGAAUGUAUUUUGGAUUUAUUUAUAUCCCAGGAAGCAUCCAGAUUUUUCUGUUGAUGUCCAUGUAGCUUAGCUGUGGAGCUAUAGUUUCUGUUUUCCUCCUUUGUGGGCUACCAUGAACCCAUCUGGAUCAGACCACUCACACAACUUACCAAGAUAACUGGCUUCUGUUAUUUAUCAAUGCACAGUGGCCCCAGGGCCAUGGUAUACAUAGUUCUACUGGGAUGCAAACUUGCUCCUUUGUGAAUGUAUUGUCUGUGGCUGCUUUGCUGACUCGACAGGGGUGUUGAACUAUAAAAUAUUUUCUGUCUGUGCCUGUCAUAGAGAAGUAAGCUGUCUAUGCUCUUAGGCUGACUAGCCUUGAAGUUCUGGGAGAUGACCUUGGAUUUCCCCCAGUCCCAAGCUCCCUGACUUCAGAGAGUGGGGCUUUGGUCUGCUAGGUAUCUCUUUAUCUAGUUCCUGCCACACCUCUUACUCAAAGAAAUCACUCAGUCCCCUCGGUCUUAGUUACUGUUCUAGUGCUGUGAUAAAACCACGACCAGGGUAACUUUUACAGGAAUUAUUUAAUUGGGAAUUGCUCACAGUUUCAGAGGGCAUGGAGCAUGGUGCCUGGCAGGUAGGUAUGGUGCUGUAGCUGUAGCUGUAGCUGUAGCUGUAGUUGAGAGCUCACAUUCGAUCCACAAGCACAUGGCAGAAACAGAGCAAGACAGCCUGGUGUGAGCGUUUGAAAACCUCAAAGGCCACACCUUUGUAGCUUCUCCAACAAGACCACACCUCCUGAUCCUCCCCAAAUAGUUCCACUGAUUGGGAACCAAGCCUUUAAAUACAUGAGCCUAUGGGGGACCUGUGGGGAACCGAAUAUCCCUGUUAUGGAAUAUUCUGGGAUCCAGGCCCUGGCUGACAUAAACAGUGGUGGCGCCAGGGAACCCUGAGUCACCAUUGUAUUGUUAAUUAACACCAGGCUGUAACUGUUUACCGUGGCCAAAGGUGAUAUGCCUCCUAAUUUGCAUCUCUGUAGCUUAAGCCUUGAGUAGGCCCAUACCUGGGCUCAAGACUCUGCCUGCUUGACCAAGAGUUGUUUAGGCAACAGAAUCACUUGCUGUUAGCGAUAUGUAUUGUGAAAAAUGCUUCCUGAUGUUACCCCUGCCCUUAGAGGACUAUUUAAAUGGACCUCUCAUUAAACUGGGGCUGCUCGGCGUCAGCUGGGAGCCCUCCUGAGAUGAUAUGGUGUUUCCUGUCUUAUCAUUAGCUUCGUUGGGUAAUUGAACUUCCCUAGUCCACACACCUCCACUCAGAAACGGCCCCGGGACUGUACGGCUGGCUCCAUCCACAGUCCUGAAGACAGCGGUCCGGAACAGGGACCAAUGUUUUCAUUCAAACAUUCAUUCAAACAUCUGGGUAUCAGAAGCCUGCUUCAUCUAGAGGAUCAGAGUCAGCUCUCAGCACUCUUAUCAGGCAGCUAACAAGUGCUUGUUAACUCCAGCCCCAGAGAUCCAAGAUCCAACACACACACACACACACACACACAGGCACACACACAUACACAUACACACAGGCACACAUACACACACAUACACACAGGCACACACACACACAGACACACACACAUACACAUAGGCGCACACACAUACACACAGUCAUACAACUAAAAUAUUUAAAUGUAUUUAUUUAUUUAGAGACAGGGUCUUAUAUAGCCCAGGCUGGCCUCAAACUCACUGUGUAGCUACUCAUUACCUCGAACUCACAAUCCUCCUGCAUCCAGUUUUCAAACUCUGAGAUUACAGGUGUGUGCACCACUCUUGGUUUAUGCCAUGCUGUAGAUUAAACCCAGGGCAUCUUGCAUGUUAGGCAAUCACUCUACCAAUUACGCUACAUCGACAACCCAGCCCCUCACAAUCUCAAUCCUAAUAGUUGGCUGGGGCUAAUUUAAAAAUUGUCGUGACCCAGCUUGUCUCAGCUUUAACCCAUGACAGCCAUGAGGUUCGGCCUGAGUGGGGGUGUGUGGACCUGGAAGCUCCCAGCAACCCAAUGGCGAUAAAGAUCAAACACAGGCAUCUUGUCAUCUUCAGAGAGCUCAGUUCCAUGUUGUAGAACUAGAGUCAUUUCUUUAUUAGCCAUCUUCUCUGGUGUUUCUUAACCAUCCUGCCAAUACCAUGAGGAAAACCAUUUCCCUCUUUCUUCCCUCUCUGCUCUGGCCACUUGCCCUUCCUCACUCCUAACCCACUCUCCUCACAAGUUACUCACACACCUCUUGCACCUCUGCCCAGGUGAGGGCCUAUUCGGAUGCUUCGGCACAGACAGAUGCAAAUAAGAGGCAUAUUACCCUGAGGCCAUGGUAAACAGUAGUAGCCUUACUGGCAUUAACAAUACAAUAGUGGGCCGGAGCUUUCUGGUGCUCCAUGUUUAGCGAGGCCAAAGGCUGGAUCUCAAAAUAUUCCAUAGCGGAAAUACUUUGGUCCCCCACAAAAAAUGUUGGAUCUCAGCCAGGGGUAGGAGUAUCCUUCAGUAACCCCAGCCUUGGGAGGUGGGAGCAGGGGGAUUGAAAGUCCAUGGACAGUCUGUACUGAAAGACCCCGCCCCCUGGCUGGUUCUCUCUCGGUGACACUCCCGUACGCGCGCACACUCCCACACG